CUCCUGAGCAGUAGAAAAUGCCUCCAUCAGCCUUUAUGAACAUGUAAUCAGCAGUAUCCAGUCAUAAAAAAGCCUUAACACAAAAAGACUGUGCUGUUCCUGUUCUGCUAUUCUUAUGUAGCACGACAUCAGUUAUUCCUGCACAAAAACAGUCAAUUUGUGCAUCAUGCAAGAAAAUCCACUGAGUUCUGCUUCUCUGUGUAACAAUGGCUGAUACAAAGGAAGGACAAGGCAAUGAGACAGCCUGCAUGUAUGCUGAGGAAUGGUUACUCUCCCAUCACAGACCUUUAUGGAUGCAUUGCCAAGAGGCUUGUUUCAAGGUAAGGCAGUGGAAUAGCAAGAAAAUAAAACUUAUGUUACGUAUGAAACCAGUAGAAAAAGGAAGGGAAAGUGGCUGAAGAAAAUGUAAACCUUCCUAAACAACAAAACGGUUUAGAUUAUGAAAACGAGAGUGUCUUAUGUCAAGUGCCUCUUCACCCACUAAGUGUGCUAUGAAAUACGAUCGCUUGUCUUGAAUACACUCUGUCCUAACAGCAACAUUCUUGAACUUAUAAACACUAUUAAUUGUGUCAGACUUGGAAUCUGAACCCUGCAAAUCCUUCCUGUGUUCAACUGAAUGGGCCUCAUUCAUAGCUGAGGCUAUGAAGGCUCUGUCCAUGGACUUACCAAGAUCAUGGUGCUGUCAGUGGACUUCCCAGAAGCCUCUGGAACAAAUCUCAACAGGAUAAUCAAUAACAG
ensembl:lncRNA